ensembl:snRNA U6 U6 spliceosomal RNA
GUGUUUGCCUUGGUAGCACAUAUAUUAAAAAAUGGGAAUAAUACUGAGAAGAUUAACACGGCCCCUGCCCAAAGAUGACACACAAAUUCAUGAAGCCUUCCAUAUUUUU